AAGGAGAGCUUAAGUAAGCUGGCCAGAA
rnacentral:piRNA from 1 species